GAAGAAGGCCUUCGGGUUGUAAAGUACUUUCAGCAGUGAGGAAGGUGGGUAUGUUAAUAGCAUACUCAUUUGACGUUAGCUGCAGAAGAAGCACCGGCUAACUCCGUGCCAGCAGCCGCGGUAAUACGGAGGGUGCGAGUACGUUAAUCGGAAUUACUGGGACGUAAAGCGCAUGCAGGUGGUUUGUUAAGUCAGAUGUAGAAACGGCCCGGGGCUACAACCUCGGUAAUUGCUAUUAGAAACUGGACAAACUAGAGUACUGUAGAGGGGGUAGAAUUUCAGGUGUAGCGGUGAAAUGCGUAGAGAUCUGAAGGAAUACCGGUGGCGAAGGCGGCCCCCUGGACAGAUACUGACACUCAGAUGCGAAAGCGUGGGGAGCAAACAGGAUUAGAUACCCUGGUAG
rnacentral:rRNA from 1 species